AGUGGCGGACGGGUGAGUAACGCGUGAGAAUCUGCCUUCAGGUCGGGGACAACAGAGGGAAACUUCUGCUAAUCCCGGAUGAGCCUUAGGGUAAAAAAUUUAUUGCCUGGAGAUGAGCUCGCGUCUGAUUAGCUAGUUGGUAAGGUAAAAGCUUACCAAGGCAACGAUCAGUAGCUGGUCUGAGAGGAUGAGCAGCCACACUGGGACUGAGACACGGCCCAGACUCCUACGGGAGGCAGCAGUGGGGAAUUUUCCGCAAUGGGCGAAAGCCUGACGGAGCAAGACCGCGUGGGGGAGGAAGGCUCUAGGGUUGUAAACCUCUUUUCUUUGGGAAGAACAAAAUGACGGUACCAAAGGAAUCAGCCUCGGCUAACUCCGUGCCAGCAGCCGCGGUAAUACGGAGGAGGCAAGCGUUAUCCGGAAUGAUUGGGCGUAAAGCGUCCGCAGGUGGCAAUGUAAGUCUGCUGUCAAAACCCAGGGCUCAACUCUGGUCAGGCAGUGGAAACUACAUAGCUAGAGUUCGGUAGGGGCAAAGGGAAUUCCCGGUGUAGCGGUGAAAUGCGUAGAGAUCGGGAAGAACAUCGGUGGCGAAAGCGCUUUGCUAGACCGAAACUGACACUCAGGGACGAAAGCUAGGGGAGCGAAUGGGAUUAGAUACCCC
rnacentral:rRNA from 1 species